UACACGAUAGAUCAUGAUGCCUGGAAUGGCUUAUGAUCAAAAUGAUUUAUCGCCGUAGGAUGGGACUGCGGCCUAUCAGCUUGUUGGUGAGGUAAUGGCCCACCAAGGCUAUAACAGGUACGGGCUCUGAGAGGAGAAGCCCGGAGAUGGGUACUGAGACACGGACCCAGGCCCUAUGGGGCGCAGCAGGCGAGAAACCUUAGCAAUGUGCGAAAGCACGACUAGGUUAAUCCGAGUGAUUUCUGCUGAAGAAAUCUUUUGUCAGUUUUAAACAUACCGAUGAAUAAGGGGUGGGCAAGUCUGGUGUCAGCCGCCGCGGUAAUACCAGCACCUCGAGUGGUCAGGAGGUUUAUUGGGCCUAAAGCAUCCGUAGCCGGCUAUGCAAGUCUCCGGUUAAAUCCAGCUGCCUAACAGAUGGGCUGCCGGAGAUACUACACAGCUAGGGAGCGGGAGAGGUAGACGGUAUUCGGUGGGUAGGGGUAAAAUCCUCUGAUCCAUUGAGGACCACCAGUGGCGAAGGCGGUCUACCAGAACGCGUUCGACGGUGAGGGAUGAAAGCUGGGGGAGCAAACCGGAUUAGAUACCCGGGUAGUCCCAGCUGUAAACGAUGCAAACUCGGUGAUGCGUUGGCUUAUGGCCAACGCAGUGCCGCAGGGAAGCCGUUAAGUUUGCCGCCUGGGAAGUACGGACGCAAGUCUGAAACUUAAAGGAAUUGGCGGGGGAGCACCACAAGGGGUGAAGCCUGCGGUUCAAUUGAUC
rnacentral:rRNA from 1 species